AGUACAUACUGUAAUGGGAAGUCCCUCUGCUGGGCAUCGGGUCAGAAGUCUUAUACUGCAUGCCUAAAGAGGAAGAAAUACAUUUAAGUAGCAUAAUUCUGUAUGAAUAACUAAUUACAUUUAAAUAAUUCAUAUAUUGUGAUUAGAAAUAGAACGACUCGUUACUGUGAAUUCAUGAUGGCACAGAUGGCACAUAUAUGCCUUUUAACCAGUUUGAUACACAGCACAGUAGAAAUUCAAUAGCAAUAAAAUCUACAGCCUCCAAAAUAAUAUUUCGCAUGUACAGAGUUUAUCCAGACUGCUUUAGACUGUACCGAUUUAAACAGGUGCAUUUAAUGUAAGUCUGUGCCAUAUCAUAUUGACCAUAAUGCCCUCCCCCCAAUAUUGUCCUCCCACAAAGAGACAAGUCCGGGCAUGUCUGAGAGAUGAGUUAGAGCUGGGCGUCCGACUUCGAAGAUGAGUUACACAGAAAAGGGACAGUAGACAGCAGAGCACAGUUCCCAGCAAAGUAUGCAAGAAAACAGGAGGAGGAACUUGCAGCUGGUGAUGUGCGACCCAACUAAACAAAGAGCCUGGAGUAUUCACCAGUUGCGGUCCUUCUGAUAAUAGAGGCAAAUGGUGGAUUUAAACAACCAAUUAAAAUGUUCUAUCUAAGAUGCAACACCCCAGCUCUUUUCUUGUAGCGGUUUUGGGCCGUCACUUCUUCCACUGGUGCAGCGCUUCCUGGGUUUUCUUUGGCAUCUGUGUUGGCAUCCAUGAUGUUACCCUUAUUUCCUACAUCUUCCAUGAGUGCCUCUGUAAUGGCUGAUGUUCCGGGUUGUCCCUGGAUUUCAGCACAGCAGUAUGUUGUCUUUGUGCUGCAUUGUUACAGAACGUAUGUAAUGCCCAAUGAUAGAUUGAGGGUAAUGCAUAUGGAUCUGUCCUGGACGUGUGUCUCUUCUCUUCCAAUUACCCUGAAUUGGACAAGUGGUUAACCCGAGUAAGUUUCAAAUUAUAUAACAAUCUUUUAUUCAGUUAAUAUUGUUUUUCUCCUUCACAAAGGCAAUGAAUUAAAAUCUGCUGGGGAAAGUCCAACUAGUUCUUACACAUUUUUUGUUAGCCUGAAAACAAUUAAGUAUGAAUCGACUGUAGUAUAGAAAUCGUGCUUUAUAAACAACAAAGGGUUUUUCUUUUUAAUCAAAUUGUUUUGGGGGGUUUUGUGAUACACCUUGCUAAAACCCAAAGUUUCAGCAACCCACCACAUAUUUAUGAUUUUUAGUAGUAGCAGCAAGGAAAUCCUCAGUGCAUUAUAUACAGUCAUUCCAGUAUAAUCAGUGUGUUUUACUUUUAUAAUGACAGCACACACUACAGUAGAGAGCUUGUACAUAAUUUGCUUGUACACAAUUUUGUAUCGGUGUGAUGUAUGAAUAUAUACUAGAGGGAUUUCUGCUACCACAUAUUUAUGAUUUGACUCAAUAGGAGUUGUAUACCUGGUAGGUCACCACAUUAGUUAGAAAACCACAACAUUUUCAUAGAUUUACAUUUGAAAGAAAUAAGCUAAAUAAGUCUCAAGUUGACUCCAUGAAUGUGAAAUGAAGAAAAAUAAUAAGUGAACUGCAACCAUGUUUUGAAUCUCCUACAACACUUUUACAAAACUCUCUAAGCUGCAACUUAUUGAAAUAUGACAUCAAGAGAACAGUAGGAUGAAGUUUGAAGCCACAAACGUUGAAAUCUUUACAAUAGACUGCUUCUACAUACAGUCUUAUAUACAGUAUAUACAUGUCCAUAUGUAUACAUGUAUACAUGCAUAUGGUAACCAUAGCAUUCAAUUAUAGAAUCAUUUUUACAAAGAAAUGUUUCAAAUGAAUGAGAAAUUGGUUGUAAUAGAAUUGAAUAUAUGGAGAACAAAGUAAAUGGCUUUAUUAUUACUGUUACACAGGCCAACUAGAUACAAGAUCAAGAACAGAGCCUUUAAAAUUCAGAGUAAGUGUGAACACAACACGAGUUUUCUUAUGUUGUUAUGUUUUUUCUGGAAUUUGCAUUUAGAGCUUGUUUCUGUGCUGCCAUGAUUAGUGUCUCUGUGCUGUUUUUCAGUCCAGCUUUGUCCAGCCACUGGUAGGAUUUCUGGAUGUCAGCCAUUUCCUCUAUCCGCCAGUGGUACUUACCGUGCAGGGGCCUGUCCUUCCAUGAUGGCUCCUCCAGUUGCUACUCUACUUUACUGGGUUUCUGUUGCCUGAGGUAUUCACUGAGUACAUGGAUGAGAAAACUCUUCAUUGUCUCAUCCUGGACAGUGGUUCUGAAACUCACCAGUACCAGGCAUCAUUCCUUACACUUAGCGUACUCAGUCUCAGAGUGCUGGACUGGGGUGAUACCUUCCGUGCUUAGUCAGGAGCGUCUUUGUCUUCAUGUCACUGGCUUCCAUCUCCUUCUUUAG